rnacentral:rRNA from 1 species
AACUGAGAGGAUGAUCCGCCACACUGGGACUGAGACACGGCCCAGACUCCUACGGGAGGCAGCAGUGGGGAAUAUUGGACAAUGGGCGGAAGCCUGAUCCAGCCAUGCCGCGUGUGUGAAGAAGGCCUUUUGGUUGUAAAGCACUUUAAGCGAGGAGGAGGCUACUUGGAUUAAUACUCUAGGAUAGUGGACGUUACUCGCAGAAUAAGCACCGGCUAACUCUGUUGCCAGCAGCCGCGGUAAUACAGAGGGUGCGAGCGUUAAUCGGAUUUACUGGGCGUAAAGCGUGCGUAGGCGGCUUCUUAAGUCGGAUGUGAAAUCCCUGAGCUUAACUUAGGAAUUGCAUUCGAUACUGGGAAGCUAGAGUAUCGGAGAGGAUGGUAGAAUUCCAGGUGUAGCGGUGAAAUGCGUAGAGAUCUGGAGGAAUACCGAUGGCGAAGGCAGCCAUCUGGCCUAAUACUGACGCUGAGGUACGAAAGCAUGGGGAGCAAACAGGAUUAAUACCCUGGUAGUCCAUGCCGUAAACGAUGUCUACUAGCCGUUGGGGCCUUUGAGGCUUUAGUGGCGCAGCUAACGCGAUAAGUAGACCGCCUGGGGAGUACGGUCGCAAGACUAAAACUCAAAUGAAUUGACGGGGGCCCGCACAAGCGGUGGAGCAUGUGUUUAAUUCGAUGCAACGCGAAGAACCUUACCUGGUCUUGACAUAGUAAGAACUUUCCAGAGAUGGAUUGGUGCCUUCGGGAACUUACAUACAGGUGCUGCAUGGCUGUCGUCAGCUCGUGUCGUGAGAUGGGGUUAAGUCCCG